rnacentral:misc_RNA from 1 species
GUGGGAGGGGGCUUGCUCCCGAUGGCGGAGUGUCAGUCGAUACAUGGCUGGCUGACACACCGCAAUCGGGAGCAAGCCCCCUCCCAC